UACGGGGGGGGCAAGCGUUGUUCGGAAUUACUGGGCGUAAAGGGCUCGUAGGCGGCCAACUAAGUCGGACGUGAAAUCCCUCGGCUUAACCGGGGAACUGCGUCUGAUACUGGAUGGCUUGAAUCCGGGAGAGGGAUGCGGAAUUCCAGGUGUAGCGGUGAAAUGCGUAGAUAUCUGGAGGAACACCGGUGGCGAAGGCGGCAUCCUGGACCGGCAUUGACGCUGAGGAGCGAAAGCCAGGGGAGCAAACGGG
rnacentral:rRNA from 1 species